UGGGGAUGUAGCUCAAGGGUAGAGUGCUUGCCUAGCAUGCAUGAGGCCCUGGGUUGGAACCCACCCCUGAA
rnacentral:tRNA from 1 species